CUACCUCUCAUUCUCUUCUCUUCCUCUUUCGUUAUCUUCUUUAAUUCAUUUUCUUUCUCUCUCAAAAAAUAAAAUCAUUCGAUCAAUGUCUUCAAAUCGUUCAAAUGAAAACCUAGGUUCUUCAUCUACGUUUGUUGCAUCUUUGGCUAUCGAUAAAAUUGAAAACAAAAACCUAACCCUAAAUUUACUUAAAACAUAUCUGAUGUUUCUGAUGAACAGGUAGAUCUGGAUUGGAUAAUAAUAUUUUCCAUUAUUAUUGUAUUUCUGAUUUUGGGUUGUCGCUGCUGAUAUUUACGAAAGGGGGUAAUCUUAUUGAUGUAUGGUAGACCUAAAGCUUCGAUCGAUGAUUUUCAAUCACUUGUGGUGGGAGGAAAGAAAUUCUCUGCAUCAUUGUAAUCCUAAAUUUGAAAUGAUUAGACAUGAUGUUGUUGAACCAUUGCUGUUGGAAGUUGAUCAGAUCUAUCAUUUAGCUUGUCAUACUUCUCCUGUUCAUUACAAAUUCAAUCCUGUCAACACUUUCAUAUCCUUUUUCACAUUUUUUUUCUUCUUUCAAAACCUCUUCCUUGAAUUGAAGUUUUUGUAAAACAGGGAAAUUAGGUUUAUGUCAAUUUAGGGUUUUUAUAUAAUUUGAUGGUUAAGCAUCAAAUUCAGAUAAUUUAGAGUUCUUGAAUGAAUGAAAUUGUUGGGUUUGUAUCUAAUUCGAAAUUUUAGGGGUUUAAAUAAUAAUUGGAGAUAUAAAAUGGAUGAUACUAAGGUAAUAGAAAUACACAAUCGAUUGCACCCCUCGCCUGCUUGAGAAAGUAUCCACAGAUGCAUGAGUUGCACCAUCUUUUCCAUCACCUAAAUUAGUAUACUAUCCACUAUUCUCUACCACCAGCUUGUUCUCAUACAUCCCCAUCUUCACAACCAUCUAUCUCAGACAGUUCAGUUCCACCACUACUUCAAUUAUGGGUUUACAAUCGUGUUUUAUGUUCCUUGGUUUAGAUAAUUGAUAACAACUCUUGAUAGUGUUGUUUUGUAGGGUGCAAGUAGGAGAAAACUGAUGGUGCGCUGUGUGAGGAGAUGGUAUGAUCUUCUGUGUGGAUUGUCGGUAUGGACGCGAGAAGGUGAUAUACGAGGUAUCUGGUGAUGGUGGUAAAGGUCGGAGAGAGAAGUUUUUCUGUUGGUAGAGUUCAGGUCGUGUAUCUGGUAAUAGAAAGUGAUACUAGGUGGCAGUGGACAUACAAAUGAUGUAGGAAGGAACUUCAGGGUAGUGUAAAUGUAUUAUUUGAUAACAUGAUAACCAAAGUUGUAGGAAAGCUCAAGUUCUUGAUUCCACUUCUGAAUUGCAGCUAGAUGGAGGACAUAGGAAAUUGAGGAAAGAAAUAGGUAUUGCAGCUGGAUUGUCCAUUUACUUGUGAUUUGUUUUGUUCAGUUUUUAUAUAUGCUGACAUGUUUAUCUCAGUAGUUUGAGUAAUACAAUCUCCCAAUUUCAAGCUAUAGUUGAUUUUCACCAUGCUGCGAAAACAUUAAAGAAAUAUAAACAGUCUUGAUGAGGAGAUAAGAGUUAGAACAACCACUGUCAGAAAGGAUCAUACUUCAUAUGGUUUGAGGCUGCAGAAUAAGGGUUUUUGGAUAGAUUUAGAAAGGAAAGGAGUUGGGAGUUGUAUACACCCGGUUAAUCUAGUUCUGUGGAAGGUGAUUCUCUUCGAACACCAAGUACACAACAUAUACCUCCUUCAAUACUUUUAUAUCGGUAUCUGCAUACCACUGUAUGAAUAUAAAUUCCAAGAGGAAUUGAGAUGGAUUGAUAUUAUCAAGUUGGAGACAAUUAAGGUUCCGAUGAGAAGUCAUGGAAAAGAGAAACAGAAUUGUUAGUGAAUGUUGUUGGUCAUGGUGAAGACAACAGGUUCUGAGGUGCCUUGCAUCACUGUUUCGGCUAAGGAUGAUCUUGAUCCUUUUGUACUGUCCAUAAAAAAUUCAACCAGGAUAUGCUUUAGUGAGAUAUGGCCAUCCUGUCUAUUCCAAAAUAAUGUGUUGAUUAACCACUUUGUUGAUGUUAAGGAUUUGUCCAAAGAUCCGGUUUCUGUUAUUCAACCAUCUUCCGGGUGUGGACUUUCCAUACUUUGUAUCUCUUCCCAUUUUUAUCUAUGGGAGGUCAUGAAUGCUAUUUAUUGGUUGGGGAUUGUUCUAGCAGGUGUUGGAAUUAUAGGUAAUGUGUAGGUGUUGGAGGAGAUGAGAAAAAGGCUUCAAGCAUAAAUGCUUUAACUGAUGGUUACCAUAAUCUCCUCGGCAAAGUUCAAGGUUCUUCAUUUUAUUGUAUCCGAAAAACGAAUAGUAUACUUGUCAUUUUUUUUGAUACUACACAUAAAACUUGUAUGGCCUUGGAACUUUUGUAAUGUGUGUCUUACUUUUUGUGUAUAUGGAGUUAAUCAUUGAAUGUUAUGGUGAAUUAAAUUGAAGGAAAAAUAUUUUAUUGAUAA